rnacentral:rRNA from 1 species
UACGUAGGGUGCAAGCGUUAUCCGGAAUUAUUGGGCGUAAAGAGCUCGUAGGCGGUUUGUCGCGUCUGCUGUGAAAACCCGAGGCUCAACCUCGGGCCUGCAGUGGGUACGGGCAGACUAGAGUGCGGUAGGGGAGAUUGGAAUUCCUGGUGUAGCGGUGAAAUGCGCAGAUAUCAGGAGGAACACCGAUGGCGAAGGCAGGUCUCUGGGCCGAUACUGACGCUGAGGAGCGAAAGCGUGGGGAGCGAACAGG